UACGGAGGGAGCUAGCGUUGUUCGGAAUUACUGGGCGUAAAGCGUACGUAGGCGGUUAUUCAAGUCAGAGGUGAAAGCCCGGGGCUCAACCCCGGAACUGCCUUUGAAACUAGAUAGCUAGAGUCUUGGAGAGGUUAGUGGAAUUCCGAGUGUAGAGGUGAAAUUCGUAGAUAUUCGGAAGAACACCAGUGGCGAAGGCGACUAACUGGACAAGUACUGACGCUGAGGUACGAAAGCGUGGGGAGCAAACAGG
rnacentral:rRNA from 1 species